rnacentral:rRNA from 1 species
GUGUGAAUUGCAGAAUUCCGCGAAUCAUCGAGUUUUUGAACGCAAGUUGCGCCCGAGGCUUGACCAAGGGCAUCUCUGCCAGAGCGUCACCGCGACACCCACCAGCUCCCCCCCUCCUUUGGGGGGUGGGCCGAGUGAAAGUGGCCGUCCGAACGGGGAUGCUGGGCCACGUCCAGCAUCAUGUUGGGUCGGCUGAAAUGGAGGGAAUUGGGGCGGCCGUGGUGACACAGCCCGCGAUCAGGUGAUCCAAGAAUAACUUCUUGGAACUUCCAAGUGCGGCGCUGCGUCCCCCUAGCAGGUCGGUCCCGGAUUCCAAAGCAGGUCCCCUCUCCCCCUCCCUCCCCGGGAGCGAGAGGGAAACACGUCACGCAUCAGACCUCUGAUCAGAGAAGACUACCCGCCGAGUUUAA